rnacentral:misc_RNA from 1 species
AGAGGGAGGAGGCAAGGGUGAAAUAACUGCCAGUUUACAACUGGAAGAUAUUUAUUUGGAUGUAAGGAAAAGCCACUUACGGAAGGACCUUUCUCUGCCUGCCUGAAUCAUCCUGACCAGAUUUAUAAUUUUGUGCUGUUUCUUAAUUAAUUUAAUCCAUGAAAGUUGUUUACAGAAACUAAAAGGAUAUGUUUUCAACCUACUAUCUUAUUUUUGAAGAUUAUAUGUCAGUAGCAUUUAUAGUUCCAGGGAAUGGAAAUCCAGUAUUGCUCAGGCUUACUGAUUUGUGUUUCUUAUUAUUUU